rnacentral:rRNA from 1 species
GACGAACGCUGGCGGCGUGCUUAACACAUGCAAGUCGAACGGAAAGGCCCUGCUUUUGUGGGGUGCUCGAGUGGCGAACGGGUGAGUAACACGUGAGUAACCUGCCCUUGACUUUGGGAUAACUUCAGGAAACUGGGGCUAAUACCGGAUAGGAGCCCCUGCUGCAUGGUGGGGGUUGGAAAGUUUCGGCGGUUGGGGAUGGACUCGCGGCUUAUCAGCUUGUUGGUGGGGUAGUGGCUUACCAAGGGUUCGACGGGUAGGCGGCCUGAGAGGGUGACCGGCCACAUUGGGACUGAGGGACGGACCAGACUCCUACGGGAGGCAGCAGUGGGGAAUAUUGCACAAUAGGCGGAAGCGUGAUACAGAAACGCCGCGUGCGGAAUGACGGCCUUCGGGGUGUAAACCGCUUUCGCCUGUGACGAAGCGUGAGUGACGGUAAUGGGUAAAGAAGCAUCGGCUAACUACGUG